rnacentral:tRNA from 1 species
UGGGCUAUGGCUCAGAGGUAGAGUACUUGCCUCGUAUGCAUGAGGCCCUGGGUUUGAUCCUCAGCACCACAU